UGCCAGCAGCCGCGGUAAUACGGAGGAUCCGAGCGUUAUCCGGAUUUAUUGGGUUUAAAGGGUGCGUAGGCGGCCUGUUAAGUCAGGGGUGAAAUACGGUGGCUCAACCAUCGCAGUGCCUUUGAUACUGACGGGCUUGAAUCCAUUUGAAGUGGGCGGAAUAAGACAAGUAGCGGUGAAAUGCAUAGAUAUGUCUUAGAACUCCGAUUGCGAAGGCAGCUCACUAAGCUGGUAUUGACGCUGAUGCACGAAAGCGUGGGGGAUCGAACAGGAUUAGAUACCCUGGUAGUCCACGCCCUAAACGAUGAUAACUCGAUGUUGGCGAUAGACAGCCAGCGUCCCAGCGAAAGCGUUAAGUUAUCCACCUGGGGAGUACGCCCGCAAGGGUGAAACUCAAAGGAAUUGACGGGGGCCCGCACAAGCGGAGGAGCAUGUGGUUUAAUUCGAUGAUACGCGAGGAACCUUACCCGGGCUUGAAAGUUAGUGAAGGAUGCAGAGACGCAUCCGUCCUUCGGGACACGAAACUAGGUGCUGCAUGGC
rnacentral:rRNA from 1 species